GGGAGGGGCAGAGAGAGGGAGAGAGACACAGAAUCCGAAGCAAGGCCUAACUGUUCUAACAUCAAUUAUCGUUACUCUCAGUUUCACUUAUUUGAGAAAACUUAAGAAUAAUUGAAGGAUUUUUCGCAACAUUGCGACCUGUAUAACUCGUUCAUCAACCACCUACUUUUUAAAAACGUUUUUCAAUAGGGUGCAUGGGCGGCUCCUCUGACUUUGACUCAGGCUACGAUCUCACUGUUGGCGAGUUCAAGCCCCACUUCCGGUGAACUGGAGCCCUGCUUCCGGUGAGCACAAGCCUCACUUUGGGUGAGCCCCGCUUCUCCUAAGAGCGAGCGCCUCCUUCUCCACCACCAAACUACCGCUGUGACACGCAAGAAACUUAACGUUAAUGCAAUAAAAUUACGUGAAAGUCCUUCCAGCCGGCCCAAGAAUGUUCUCCGUGACGAAGUUUCGCUCUAGAAUCCAGUCAGAGAGGGCCGAUUUCCUCUGCCUGUCGCCACUCUCCAGAGCAGCCCAGACCAGUUGUGUCACGGAGGGGCCCUCGGUGCGGACCUGUCUGCUCAUUUCCUCACGACCCCAUUCGGGCUCAGGGGUUUUGACGUGACACGUAAUGUCGUCGGCCGCCUAUCUUUGAUUCUACAAUAGCAGUUCCCCUCAGGAACUGUCUAUACAAGUACACGUUAUGGUCCUCUUGACAACUGAUGAAGGAACUACCCGAAGGCACAAAAUGAGAGGGCAAAUUCCAACUCUAAUUGACAUAACACAAUGGUACGAUUUGAUGGCGUUUUUGAACUUCUGAUUUGAUGACAUUUUUAAAAAUGUUAUGCCAUCUUCAGAUGAGCGUUAAGUUCUGCCAGGGUAAAUGGCUUACGAUGGCGGGCUUCAUGGGCGUGCCGGGAACAUUCUCAGGAAGCCCCUGAGUCGGCUGUCCAGUCAUGAUCCGAAAGAGGCGCUCAGUGUUCGUAUCCGGGCGCCAUUUUGCCACAUGUUAUCGGUUCUGGCAACCGUCUUCAGCGUCCAGAUGGAUUGUACUGAACUCUAGGAAACAGGCGAACUUUCUGGAGUGUAUUUGACGACCCACCCAUCUUGGUGUGUUAUAGGAGGUGAACAUUCAAGACAAUAAAGUUCACAGAAAUCAUGUUAAAACUCUUCGAGGCCUUUUGAGAAGAGUUCCAGUCCUGCUUUCUGGUUCUCUCGUAAUCCAUCCCGGGAUGAGAUGAUCUUUCACCCAAGCAAGAUCCAAGAGCUUUCAAGCUUUGAAGAUAAAAGGGCAGGCUGUUUCACAGCUCAGAACUUUCCAUGAUGUGUUGUCCGGACAGGAAGUGAAUUUGCAAUCCCGUCCUGAGGGGUUCAUUCAAGAGAGAGGCAGCGGGUUCAAAAGCAGCAAGCCUUAAAUCCCUGACCUGUGUAGCACCACCCCAGCGGCUCUGUGGCUCUCCAAGGUGGAAGUGAAGGUUCUUUGGAAGGAACUCUAGCACCUGGUAAAGCCAAACGGAGCCCGUGGCUGGGAAGCGGACUGUGCCCAGCGUCGAGGACAUCUUAAAGGGGAAGGACAGCCUUGGCUGGAAAGUGGGUAACUCGUAUUUGUCACUGACAACAUUAAAACAUUAAAGGCCUCAUGUGGAAAAAGUUGAGUAAAACACAAAUUUAAUAGAUUCGUGUUUUAUCUUCUCAAUGAAAACUGAAAAGUAAUAAUUUACAUAUUCGUCAUGCUCAACGGGGCCUUCAGAGAGGUUAAUGCGGAUCAUUAGACAUCGUCUAUUAAGGAAUUACAUUUCGCAAUAGUGAGUAAAAGGAAAACACAUUAGCAAACAAAGACCAUUAUUCUUCCCCCCAGUUCCUUCCCAUGUUCAAACUACGCUGUUUGUAACAAGAGGAGAAGAAAGACAAAGUUAAAAGCUCUUAAAACUUAGGAUACAACAGAAUUGCUUCUUCUUGUGAAAUACUGUUUCAAGUCUGUUCCAAAGUCAGGUCGGAAUGCCACCUUAAAGUGACGAAACGCCAUGGGUUCUAACACUGUCCUCCCUCUUAGCUUGAGAAAGUCUUCCACCCCUGUCCAACCACAGGGAGAUGUUUCUACAACAUACUGGAGUUUUUAAACUUUGUUGAAAACAAUUCACAGUUGAACCUUUUUUUUUUUUAAAUGGCCACUUGGCCCCCACCUACCCAUCAAAACCCCCCAGGGGCCCGCAGGGGCAGGAGGACAGAAGGUAACACAAACACCGUGCUGCCCCAAAGGGAAACCUACGGAAAGGACACGUGCGAGCAGAUGGAGUCUGGUACCUUCGCUCUGGUCAGUUUCCGGCGGCCACAGGACUUUUCAGUUCCACAAGCAUUUCCGAGGUGCCCAGCGUGGCUGGAAGACUAAGUCUCAAGAAAGAUGCACUUGGUUAGUGAUACUGUGUGCGCUGUCCUCAAAGGGAGUCCUCGGUGGGACUGGGAGAAAGUGACCCACAUCAGCUGUGCAACCGGUGCUAGCUUAAGAGUGCUUGUCUGAUCCCGAGGCCACGGAUUGGGAGAAUGUCUCCGGCCCUGCUAUCAAGAGGCACCAGGCAAGCCGUUGGGAUCCCAGUUCCUGUCUUCCAGGACGGGGAAGGGAGGCAGACCGAUGAAGGCGUGCUUUGCUCCCAGGGCCGGAGUUGAACUUGCUACAGGACCGUGAGCGCAGGGCACUGUGCCUGCCCUCCGGAGGGGCACUCGGCGCAGUCAGGAGAGGCCGGGGCGAUGUGCUAGACGAUGCGCUGGCGGGAGGAGAGGCAGGUACCGGGACCAGGAGGCGAGACAGAGUGUGGUAUGUUUGGAACGGAAGCCCUGGGGGGAGGUGAGGCCGGGUGGUGGCUUACGAGGUGCAGGAGAAAGCUGAAGAGGUUGGCAGGGAAGACCGUGGAACGCCUUGAUGCCCCGUUGAGGGAUCUGGACUCUUUCCGGAGGGUUCUAGGGCAGCACGAGAGAGAGAGAGUGGAACAGAACGUGCUAACUCUGCAAACCGGAUUCUAGAAAUCCGUCGCCAGGCUCUGUGGUUGUUUUGUGGAAUACCCUUUCUGAACGGCUUCUGCAAAGCCUAUAACCUUUCGCCGCGGAACACUCUGCUCCGUUGACCCAGGGGUCCGUUGAAUGAAUGGGCAGAGGGCUCCUUAAGUUCCUGUGACCGAUAAAUCUAGCCUUUGCCAAGAGCCAAGAGCCUCUGGGUACACCGUGGGGCACACCUUCGACACUCAGCCAGCCGGACAAUCGUCCGUUCUCUUGUUACUUUUUUGGAGGAGAAAAUGUUCAGGAGUCCUUAUUCCUAACGAGGUUUCUGUUCUGGAAGAUGACUCUGGCCCGAGUGUGUAGAAGGCAUUAGGAUUUGGGAAAGACUGGAGUCCAGGAGAGGAGAUGGGAGUUUCGUGGUCAGUGGACAACAUAAUAGUUAUUGUAGCAAAGAAACACCCAUAGGAGCUCUUACGUAGCAAAGGGUUGCAGCUUGCCGGGUUCUGUGCUCGGUAUUUCCUACAUUUUUUUUUUUUUGGUACCUCAUCAUAUCUAUCUUAAAGAUGAUAAAACGACAUUUAGAGGAGGUCAAGACCUUGUCCAAGGUCACACAGCUAAAAGGGAGACAGAGCAGCUUUUGAAUCAUGAGUCUGACUGUAAAACCCAUGUUCAUAAUCACUGGCUCGUAUUUCUGGAAGCAGGCUCAAUUUCACGGUUCAAAAAAAAAAAAAUUCUUCAUUUAACAAAUAUUCAUUGAUGACCGGCUACAUGCUGGCUACUGUUUUCGGGGUUGGGGAUAUAGUGGUGAACAAGAUAGCAGAAAAGUCCCUGUUGUCACAGAGCCUAUACUCUAGUUGGUGGAGACAGAUACAUAAGCAAACUUUAUCUUAUGUUGGAUGGUGGUAGGUGCCGAAAUAAGGCAGAAGCGGGAGAGAGAGAAAGGGCCUUGCUGGAAAGUAAUAUUUCAGUAAGGAUCUGAGGCCGAGAGAAGAAGCAUGUGCAUAUCUAAGUGAAGAGCACUCUGGACAGAAAGGAUAGCAAGUGCAAAGGCCCUGCGGCAGGAAGGUGUCUGGCUUUCAUGAGGGAACAGCAAGGGGUCAGGGUGGUGGGUGGAGCUGAGUGGAUGAGGAGGGGGCGUAUAAGGAGACAAGGUCAGAGAGGUGAUGGGGACCCAGACUGCAUGGGCCUCCUAGGCCACUGGGAGGAGUCUGUCUUUGAGGAAUGACACCCCUGAAAAGAUUCCUCUGGCUUAUGUGCUGAGAAUAGAGACACAAGGCCAGACGCCGGGAGGCCAGGGAGCAAGCUUUGCAGGAAUCUAGGAGAAGGGAUAUGGCUUGGAGCAAGGUGGUAGCCUUGGAGGCUGAGGAAAUGGUCAGCUUCUGUAUAUAUUUUGAAGGUCGAGCUGACAGGAUUUGCUGAUGGUCUGGCGGUGGGGAGUGAGGAAAGAAAGUUGUCAAGGAAGAAAGACUCCCCUGGGAAGAUGGCGUUUUCCCUUGCUGGGAGCGGGGAGAGUGGGGGGAAGAGGUUUGGGAAUUCAAGCAGGUGCUUGUCUGCGGGUACUUAGUUGAGUGACCUAUUCAGUGUCUUUGUAGAACUUUCUGGUAGGCAGUUUUAUGCCCAAGUCUGUUGUUCAGGGAGAGAACUGAGUCUGGGUGAACAAGGCAGCAUAGAGAAGAGACCAUGAAAUGGCCAUAAGAGUGUAAUGGUAAAAGGGCGGGGGGGGGGGACAGACUCAGAAAGCACAGCCCUUUGGAUCCCUCCAACCUUAUCUCCUACCUUGUCUGCCUCCAUCAGCAUCCCUCCAUCAGCAGUAUUCACCCUGAUGACCUUGGUUUAUAAAAAGAAAUAAAUUAAUGAAGCAGCCAG